UAACCUACCUAUAAGACGUGGGAAUACGUACGGAACCGGAGCUAAUACCGGAUAAUAUUUCGAACCGCAUGGUUCGAUAGUGAAAGGUGGUUUUGCUAUCACUUAUAGAUGGACCCGCGCCGUAUUAGCUAGUUGGUAAGGUAACGGCUUACCAAGGCGACGAUACGUAGCCGACCUGAGAGGGUGAUCGGCCACACUGGAACUGAGACACGGUCCAGACUCCUACGGGAGGCAGCAGGA
rnacentral:rRNA from 1 species